rnacentral:rRNA from 1 species
UAAGGAAUAUUGCUCAAUGGGAGAAAUCCUGAAGCAGCAACGCCGCGUGGAGGAUGAAGGGUCUAUGACUUGUAAACUCCUGUAAAGAAGGAAAAAAUUCCCAUUAGAUGGGAGAUGAUGGUACUUCUGGAGUAAGCCCCGGCUAACUACGUGCCAGCAGCCGCGGUAAUACGUAGGGGGCAAGCGUUGUCCGGAUUUACUGGGUGUAAAGGGUGCUCAGGCGGAUUUGUAAGUCAGAGGUGAAAUCUUACAGCUUAACUGUGAAACUGCCUGUGAUACUGCAAGCCUAGAGUAUGGAAGAGAGUGAUAGAAUAUCUGGUGUAGCAGUGAAAUGCGUAGAUAUCAGAUACAACACCAAUGGCGAAGGCAGUCACUUGGUCCAUUACUGACGCUAAAGCACGAAAGCGUGGGUAGCAAACA